GUCUAUGUAAUCAGAAACAAUGGGGGUCUUCUCUAGUCGCAUUAUGUGACUUCUGUCAUUAGCUGAGUCGUGUUCUUUUGUUCGAUGUUGAAACGAUAUAUAUAGACUCUUUUUUUUUUGGCUCAUCAACAACAUUCAUUUCACCAACGAUCCGGAUACAAGAACUUGACCACAAGUGUUUAUACCACUAAUACAAUGGAGCAAUCUAGUAUCAAACUGAAUCACUAACUUGGACUCAAUCCUACCUAAUUGAAACCUCCAUUGUAUAUUGGACCACAAUGAGAAUGAAAUCACUCCACUACCCGAAGUGAUCCAUCUCUUUAACCUCCUAAAUUCGACCACGAGACACGACAACAUCUACUAAGAACCGACAAUACUUGACUAAGCACGAGAGAACUUUCUUCCAACAAGCAAAUGGUACCAAAUGAUAGAGCAUGAUGAACGUGACUCAAAUGCAUAUUCACCAACAGCGCGUUCUCGAGAUAGUCUCAUACCCCAGCUUUUCGAUGUUCGGUCCUCAGCCUAAAACCGGACACAGAGAUCCGGAAUGAAGAGCGGGGCUCCGCGACAAAGAUGUGACUGUUUAUGGUUUAAAGCUCCAGAGGUGUGGAGCUCUUACCGCCGGAGAACACAAACCUCCGACGCUGGGAUGUAGCAGCUCCACAACGUAGUGUUGAAAGGCGAGCACCUCCGGUUGACCACUCCCUCAGCGCUAACCAUAUACAUGAUGUUCCCGAGAAUCGGGAUACAAAAAAUCUGACCACAGUCCGACCGACUCCUCUCCGGUUGUCUCACCGCCUCGGGGGAACGAAGAUCCAUACUGAAUAAGACAUCCAGAGCGCCACGCGCCAUCGCCGACACCGGAGUCGCCGUGGAUCUAAAAAGGUAAAAACUAGAUCUGGCUUCUCCGAUACCCUAAAAGCCGACUUCCUUUUCCGCUGACUUCUUGUUGCCUCGCCGCUUCUCCAAAGAACGCCGGAGCUUACCCCGCUGGACCAGAGCCGAGCUGAUGGAGAGGUUCCUUCGAACGCAGAGAAGCUUGCAUAUCGGCAAAGAUUAUACCGGGAAGAAGAAAGCAAAUAGAAAACAAAGAAGAAGGGUAGAGGAAGAGUGCUUCCGGCACCAGAAGAGCCGUGCUGGAGCUAGGGUUGACGGAAUCU
rnacentral:lncRNA from 1 species